UACGAAGGGGGCUAGCGUUGCUCGGAAUCACUGGGCGUAAAGGGUGCGUAGGCGGGUUAUUAAGUCAGAGGUGAAAUCCUGGAGCUCAACUCCAGAACUGCCUUUGAUACUGAUAGUCUUGAGUAUGGGAGAGGUGAGUGGAACUGCGAGUGUAGAGGUGAAAUUCGUAGAUAUUCGCAAGAACACCAGUGGCGAAGGCGGCUCACUGGCCCAUUACUGACGCUGAGGCACGAAAGCGUGGGGA
rnacentral:rRNA from 1 species